rnacentral:lncRNA from 1 species
AGGAAACAAAUGAUUGGCAUUGAUAUAUGAUAAUCUGCAAUUUCCAGAAACCAAACCGGUUUACCAACAAUUUUUUCUGGUUAAUUUAAUACCAAACCGAGCAUUACUGACUUGACAAAGAAGAAAAAUGCAAACCGGUUUGGUUUACCAUUUACUCUUUUUGUUUUUACAAAAACCCGAACUUCUCAUGAGUCAAAAUUCACAAACAGCAAGUUGUCAUUAGUCAAAAUCUCUCAAUUAAGAUAUUUAAUCCUACUACCCAAUUGAAUACUCUAAAUCAGUCUUCAUGCUCCUCCUCGUCGUGCAUGAGAUUGCGAAACCGUUGCGCUCAUGGUUCAACAAGUUUAGACCAAGGUUGGGUACGCCAGGGACAUUAAUAAGGCGAUAAACUUCGCGUAGUAAGAACCGUCCAUUUGGUAGCUGUCUCUGGCAGAUGGUUCCACGAAAAGUCA